UGCAGUCGAGGGGCAGCAGGACUGUAGCAAUACAGUUGCUGGCGACCGGCAAACGGGUGCGGAACACGUACGCAACCUUCCUUCAAAUGAGGAAUAGCCUUUCGAAAGAGAGAUUAAUACCUCGUAACAUUUUCAGGUGGCAUCACUUGAUUAUUAUAGCUCCGGCGUUUGAAGAUGGGCGUGCGCCUGAUUAGGUAGUUGGCGGAGUAAUAGCCCACCAAGCCUACGAUCAGUAACUGGUGUGAGAGCACGACCAGUCACACGGGCACUGAGACACGGGCCCGACUCCUACGGGAGGCAGCAGUAAGGAAUAUUGGUCAAUGGACGCAAGUCUGAACCAGCCAUGCCGCGUGGAGGAUGAAGGUCCUCUGGAUUGUAAACUUCUUUUAUCGGAGAAGAAACCCAUACUUUCUAGUGUGGUUGACGGUACCCGAUGAAUAAGCACCGGCUAACUCCGUGCCAGCAGCCGCGGUAAUACGGAGGGUGCAAGCGUUAUCCGGAUUCACUGGGUUUAAAGGGAGCGUAGGUGGGAUGGUAAGUCAGUGGUGAAAUCUCCGGGCUUAACUCGGAAACUGCCGUUGAUACUAUCAUUCUUGAAUAUUGUGGAGGUAAGCGGAAUAUGUCAUGUAGCGGUGAAAUGCUUAGAUAUGACAUAGAACACCGAUAGCGAAGGCAGCUUGCUACACAAUUAUUGACACUGAGGCUCGAAAGCGUGGGGAUCAAACAGGAUUAGAUACCCUGGUAGUCCACGCCCUAAACGAUGGAUACUCGACAUACGCGAUACACAGUGUGUGUCUGAGCGAAAGCAUUAAGUAUCCCACCUGGGAAGUACGACCGCAAGGUUGAAACUCA
rnacentral:rRNA from 1 species